UGGUAAUUCUAGAGCUAAUACAUGCUGAAAACCCCGACUUCCGGAGGGGUGUAUUUAUUAGAUAAAAAACCAACGCCCUCCGGGGCUCCUUGGCGAAUCAUAAUAACUCAACGAAUCGCAUGGCCUUGCGCCGGCGAUGGUUCAUUCAAAUUUCUGCCCUAUCAACUUUCGAUGGUAGGAUAGUGGCCUACCAUGGUUUCAACGGGUAACGGGGAAUUAGGGUUCGACUCCGGAGAGGGAGCCUGAGAAACGGCUACCACAUCCAAGGAAGGCAGCAGGCGCGCAAAUUACCCAAUCCCGACGCGGGGAGGUAGUGACAAUAAAUACUGAUACAGGGCUCUUUUGGGUCUUGUAAUUGGAAUGAGUACAAUUUAAAUCCCUUAACGAGGAACAAUUGGAGGGCAAGUCUGGUGCCAGCAGCCGCGGUAAUUCCAGCUCCAAUAGCGUAUAUUAAAGUUGUUGCAGUUAAAAAGCUCGUAGUUGAACCUUGGGCCUGGCUGGCCGGUCCGCCUCACCGCGUGCACUGGUCCGGCCGGGCCUUUCCUUCUGGGGAGCCGCAUGGCCUUCACUGGCCGUGUCGGGGAACCAGGAC
rnacentral:rRNA from 2 species